GUCGUAUGAAGUCCUGACCAAGCGAUUUAUAGGUGAUGACAAUGGAGUUGUUAAAGGUCUUGAAGUUGUACGCGUCCGCUGGGCAAAAGACAGUAGUGGGAGAUUCCAGUUUGAGGAGAUCGAAGGGUCAGAGGAGUUGAUUGAAGCUGACUUGGUCCUCUUAGCUAUGGGGUUCCUCGGUCCCGAUCCAAAAAUUGCGGAGCGUCUCGGUCUGGAGCAGGACAGCCGAUCGAACUUUAAGGCAGAGUAUGGUCACUUUUCUACUAAUGUCAAUGGUGUUUUUGCUGCUGGAGACUGCCGUCGAGGACAGUCGUUGGUCGUGUGGGCCAUCAACGAGGGCAGACAAGCAGCAUCUCAGGUGGAUGUGUUCUUGAUGAAAGAUGAUGACGAUGAAGAUACUGCCACCUCCAACAGUGAGGAGGGCAGGCUCGCCAACCCUGAUAACAGACAAGCAGUAACUGCAUAGGGAGUCUUCUUCUUUACUUAGUUAUUAGGGUUAUUAGGGUCUGUGUCUGAGAUCGAAACAGGUGGCGAAUGAAGCUUUCUCAGCAGGGUUUUGCUACUUUUGAAAAACUGCAGUUGGUCUGCUGUUGCGCAUGCGACAAUGAUGGUGGUGUGCAUAUAGCUGAUGGCAUUCUCUAUUCUGGGGUGUUCCCAAGC
rnacentral:misc_RNA from 1 species